AGUGAACGCUGGCGGUAGGCCUAACACAUGCAAGUCGAACGGCAGCACAGUAAGAGCUUGCUCUUACGGGUGGCGAGUGGCGGACGGGUGAGGAAUACAUCGGAAUCUACUUUUUCGUGGGGGAUAACGUAGGGAAACUUACGCUAAUACCGCAUACGACCUACGGGUGAAAGCAGGGGAUCUUCGGACCUUGCGCGAUUGAAUGAGCCGAUGUCGGAUUAGCUAGUUGGCGGGGUAAAGGCCCACCAAGGCGACGAUCCGUAGCUGGUCUGAGAGGAUGAUCAGCCACACUGGAACUGAGACCCGUUCCAGACUCCGACGGGAGGAAGCAGUGGGGAAUAUUGGCCAAUGGGCGCAAGCCUGAUCCAGCAAUACGGCGUGGGUGAAGAAGGCCUUCGGGUUGUAAAGCCCUUUUGUUGGGAAAGAAAAGCAGCAGGUUAAUACCCCGCUGUUCUGACGGUACCAAAAGAAUAAGCACCGGCUAACUUCGU
rnacentral:rRNA from 1 species